GGAGGUGAUCACCCAGCUCGUCAUGCUAGAGCACUUUUUCAAUGGGCUCCCCAACGACAAGGCGAUGAGGCAUUCGUAUGUCAUCCAUAUCAACUUUCGAUGCCACUUUCUGCGCCUACCAUGGUGACCACGGGUAAGGGGGAAUCAGGGUUCGAUUCCGGAGAGGGAGCCUGAGAAACGGCUACCACAUGCAAGGAAGGCAGCAGGCGCGCAAAUUACCCACUCCCGACACGGGAAGGUAGUGACGACAAAUAACAAUACAGGACUCUUUAGAGGCCCUGUAAUUGUAAUGAGUCCACUUGAAAUCCUUUAACUCUGAUCAAUUGGAGGGCAAGUCUGGUGCAGAGCGACUGACCCGUGCGUGCUGCAGCUGAAACUCCAGUAUCGCCUUC
rnacentral:rRNA from 1 species